rnacentral:rRNA from 1 species
UUUAAAAUCUGGCGUCUUUCAGGCGUCCGAGUUGUAAUCUAUAGAGGCGUUUUCCGCGCCGGACCGCGUCCAAGUCUCUUGGAAUAGAGUAUCAAAGAGGGUGACAAUCCCGUACUUGACGCGACAACCGGUGCUCUGUGAUACGUUCUCAAUGAGUCGAGUUGUUUGGGAAUGCAGCUCUAAAUGGGUGGUAAAUUCCAUCUAAGGCUAAAUAUUGGCGAGAGACCGAUAGCGAACAAGUACCGUGAGGGAAAGAUGAAAAGCACUUUGGAAAGAGAGUUAAACAGCACGUGAAAUUGUUAAAAGGGAAACGAUUGAAGUCAGUCGUGUGAAAGGUAUUCAGCCGUCUCUGGCGGUGUAUUUGCCUUUCACGGGUCAACAUCAGUUUGAUCCGGUAGAAAAAGGCGGGAGGAAGGUGGCACCCUCGGGUGUGUUAUAGCCUCCUGUCAUAUGUGCCGGACCAGACUGAGGAACGCAGCUUGCCGCAAGGCCGGGGUUCGCCCACGUACAAGCUUAGGAUGUUGACAUAAUGGCUUUAAACGACCCGUCU